AUUGAACGCUGGCGGCAGGCUUAACACAUGCAAGUCGAGCGAGCGGCGGACGGGUGAGUAAUGUCUGGGAAACUGCCUGCUGGAGGGGGAUAACUACUGGAAACGGUAGCUAAUACCGCAUACCAUCAGAUGUGCCCGGAUGGGAUUCGCUAGUAGGUGGGGUAAUGGCUCACCGAGGCGACGAUACCUAGCUAGUCUGAGAGGAUGACCAGGCACACUGAAACUGAGACACGGUCCAGACUCCUACGGGAGGCAGCAGUGGGGAAUAGUGCACAAGGGGCGCAAGCCUGAUGCAGCCAUGCCGCGUGUGUGAAGAAGGCCAUCGGGUUGUAAAGCACUUGCAGCGAGGAGGCGUUACUCGCAGAAGAAGCACCGGCUAACUCCGUGCCAGCAGCCGCGGUAAUAC
rnacentral:rRNA from 1 species